GGGGAAUAUUGCACAAUGGAGGGAACUCUGAUGCAGCGACGCCGCGUGAACGAUGAAGGCUUUAGAGUCGUAAAGUUCUUUUAUAUGGGAAGAUAAUGACGGUACCAUAAGAAAAAGCCCCGGCUAACUACGUGCCAGCAGCCGCGGUAAUACGUAAGGGGCUAGCGUUGUCCGGAAUCACUGGGCGUAAAGGGUUCGCAGGCGGAAAUGCAAGUCAGAUGUAAAAGGCAGUAGCUUAACUACUGUAAGCAUUUGAAACUGCAUAUCUUGAGAAGAGUAGAGGUAAGUGGAAUUUUUAGUGUAGCGGUGAAAUGCGUAGAUAUUAAAAAGAAUACCGGUGGCGAAGGCGACUUACUGGGCUCAUUCUGACGCUGAGGAACGAAAGCGUGGGUAGCAAACAGGAUUAGAUACCCUGGUAGUCCACGCUGUAAACGAUGAGUGCUAGGUAUCGGAAUAAUUCGGUGCCGCAGUUAACACAUUAAGCACUCCGCCUGGGGAGUACGUGCGCAAGCAUG
rnacentral:rRNA from 1 species